CCUCUAUUAAAGAGAAGAAAGAAAGAAAAAGAAAGAAAGAGAGCAAAGGAAGCUGAACAAAGAAAAGGAGGAAGGAAGGAAACAAGCAAGCAAUUCAUCCAUCCAAUCCUAGGGAAAAGCAAUAAGCAUUCUAAUGACAACUGUGUAAUCUGUGAUCUCCAAAUGUCAGCUGUGCAGCCAGCAGAUUUGCAGCCAAAGCUAUCAGCGAAGUAGCAUCUGAAACAAGCUAGAAAACAGUGGUUGUUUCCAUUCCCGCGGAAGCUGAGUGACGCUAGAAAUAACACCACGCAGAUUCUUCCCUUCUCCGGUACAGAGAACUCUUACUAUCACAUUGCAUCACGGAUCCCCUCCUUCCUGAACUCCAUCCUCCCUGCUCCGGAACAAUCUUCUUCAUUCUGUACUCCCUUGUACACUUUCAAGAAGAAAAGGACACACUUAGGGAAAGAAGUUUCCCCGAGUACACAAUGUAAAUGUCUAAAAGUGUUUUGUCAAAAGUACACAACGAGCUGGCUAAAAUAUACCGGGUAGUAAGUACUUAUUCAUUAUUGGAGGACAAGCAGGUCUUCAGUCAAGGGGCUGAAGGUUGUUCAACUAUUCCUUUGAGAAAAGGCCAC
rnacentral:lncRNA from 1 species